UUUGCAUUAUAUGAAAGAAGUCUAACUUUAUCUUUCUUUAAGUGUAAUGACAAUUUUUUCAACACUACUCAGUUUACUCUUAUUUGAGAUUUAAUAAAUGAUUGCUGUAUUAGUCUGGAUAGGUUAGGAUACACUAUGGCAAUAUAUUAACUGCAAAAUCUCAGUGGUUCCACAUGGCAAUGCUCUUUCUUCUUAUGCAUACCAAUGUCCUUUGAAGGUAGCAUGGGCUCAGCUCAGCACAGCUGCUUGGGAAGCCAGAGUAAUGAAGGUCCCACCAUCCUGAGGCUGCUCCAAAGGCAACGUGUGUUUUUCCUGGGCACAGCAUUACAACAUAGGGUCUGGAAAGCAAUCCUCCACAGAAAGAAAGCAGAAUCUUCUGGGCAUUUCUGAGCAAGUGGACUUCCUUCAGCUGAGCACAGUCCUCAGGAGAAGCGGACAGGUGCAAAGUGUUGGAAGCCAACACUCACAGCAGUUGGGGGUUGGAGUGCUCUGGCUUCCAACAGCAUUGAAACCAACAGCAUUGACUACAGCGAGUUUCUCAAUCUUCAGAACACAUCCCAGCCUCCCUGGGGGCUGCUAAUGCACAGAUUGCCGUUUCCCACUCCAAGAGUUUCUGAUUCCAGAGGUCUGGGGUAGGGCUCGAUAAUUUGUUCUUCUAACCACCUAAUGCUGUUGGUCCAGUGACCACACUUUGAGAAAUGCUGUACUAUGUUUUCUCAUAUAUUUAAAAAUUCUCACCUCAUUUAUGGUUUAAAACUUCUAGAACAAUUCUGAAUAGUUUUUGUAAUAGUGAGCCUCACUUUCCUGUCUCUGCCCUUAAUGGGAAUGUCUCUAAUGAUUCACCUUUCAUACGGGGACUUGUUGUGGUUUACUGGGCAAUUCCUUUUGGCAGGUUAAAAAAAUUCCCUCUGUUUCAAGCUAAAGCCAUUUACCAGGAAGAGACGCUAAGUUUUAUCAGAGGGUUUUUCCAGUAACUAUUGUGAUAAUCAUGGUUUUUUUUCCUAUUUAUUACGAUAUCAAACAUGAAACUUAUUUGAAGUCCUGGAUUAAACGGUGCUUGUUUUCUAUAAUGUUUUGUUCCUUAAAUGUACUGACAAAUUUAAUUUAUUAUUUUUUUAGGAUUUGAGGUACAAGUUCAUACGUGAUAAUGACUUACUGUUUUGUUUUCAUUAUUUCCUCCUUCCAUCCUUUCUUGAUAUCCUUUUUAUCUCUUGGUUUCAAAAUUACACUAGCGUCAUAGAAUGAGUUGGAAAUUAGCCCAUUAUUCUCCAUGCCAUGGAGUGUUUUGCAAAACAUAAGAAUGAUCAGUUCCUUACAUAUUUGGUAGAAUUUACCUUAUAAAACACAGUAGGUUUUGUGUCUCUUCUGGAGUCCAGAUACUGCUAUGGACUGAAUGUUUGUACCCUCUAAGAUUCAUUAGGUUGAAAUCCUAGCCUCAAAGUGGUGGUAUUAGGAGGUGGGACUUUUGGGAGGUGAUCAGGCCAAGAGGGUGGAGCCCUCAUGAAUGGGAUUAGUGCCCUUAUCAAAUAAGGCAAAAGGAGCUCUUUAACCUCUCCCACCAUGUGAGGACAAAGUGAAAAGACACCAUCUAUGAACCAGGAAGCAGGGCCUCACCGGAUGCCAAACCUGCCAGCACCUGGCCCUUGGACUUCCAGCCACCAGAACUGUGAAGAAGAAAUUUCUAUUGCUUAUAAAUACCCAGUUUACGGCAUUCUGUUAUAGAAGUGCCUAAUAGGCUAAGGCAAAUACUAUAUGGUAUUUAGGAUUGCUUCUGUAUAUUUUUAAGACUUUUUUAUUUUGGAAUAAUAAUAAUUCACAGAAAAUUUACAGAGAAAGUCUCCACAUGCCCCUCACCCCACUUCCCCUAAUGUUAACAUAACCGUGGUCCAUUUGUCAAAACUAAGAAAUGAGGAUUGGUACCAUACUAUUGACUGAAUUACAGACAUUACUUGGAUUUUGUCAAUUGUUUUACUAAUAUUCUAUUAUUUCUGUGUCAGAUUCCAAUCUGGAUAACAUGUUGCAUUUGUUCAUCACGUCUCCUUUGUUUUUCCUGGGCUGUGACAGUUUCUUAUUCUUUUCUUGUAUUGCCUGGCUUUGAAUUUUGAGGAAUUCUGGUUAAGUAUUUUGUAAACUGUCACUAAAUUUUGCUUGUCAGAUGUUUUCUCCUGGGUUAGACUGGGCUUACAGGUUUUGGGGAAGAACUCUACAAAAGGGAAAUGUCUUUCUCAUCUCAUCUAAUAAAUGGAUAUAGGAUAUCAACUUAACUUAUUCCUGGCAAUGGUAAUCUUGACAUCAUGGUUAAGGGAGUACCUGCCAAGUUACCACAAGGAAAGUUUCUAUUUUUUCAUUCUUAUACUCAAUUCUUUGGAAGCAAGUCACGAAGUCCAGCUCACACUCAAAAAUAGGGAAAUUAAACCUUACCUUUUUGCAUAGGGGAUACGAACUUUAAAAAAAACAAUCUUCUGAAAGGAGUCUUGUCUCUUGUAGUUCCAUGUUUAAUGCUAUCAUGUAUUUGUUUUUAUUAAUAUGAACUCAUAAAUACUCAUUUUAUUGGAAUAAUCCAUUAUCAUAUAUUUUGUUGCUCAGAGUAUUCCAGCUUUGACCACUGGGCUUUUUCAGGUUGACUUCUGUGUCCUUUUGACUUGCCCCCAUCUAUUAUUAUGUAUUUUUUUUUAGCAGUUUCUUACUUUUGUCACUUCAAGAUGUUCCAGACUUAGUUUGUAUUUUUCUUACUCCAUCUUUAGAAUCAGCCAUUUCUUUAAGGAGCUUUGGGUUCUUUUAUUGGAGAGUGGUAUUUGGAAACCAAGAUCUGGGCAUUAGGUAUGCUCAUUGCUACCGGGAUGUCACUGCUUCUAGGCCCUCUCAGCUGGACAGAGGUAUGACAUACAUGUGUGUAAAUUAAUCUACAUAUAUCGACAUAUCUAUAAUUAGCUCUGUCAUAUUCACUAUUUAAUUUACAACCUCUUUUUUUGGUAGAUGUUUGCAAUCCAUAUUUUACUUACUGAUUAACAGUUUUAAUUUUUGGUAACAAUUCAUAAAAUAGAAAAUUGCAAUUUUAAUAGAGCUUUUCCAAAUCUGGAAUUAUAUACUCUCUCUGGAGUAUACAUUAUUCAU
rnacentral:lncRNA from 10 species